UCCAACCUGGGCAACAGAGCGAGACUUCAUCUCAAAAACAACAACAAAAACACAUAUAAAAUUUUCUCUCAAAUAUCCAAAUCCAAUCUAAAGUCUUUCACCUCAUUAAAUUACAAGAAAAUGUGAAUAACAACAAAAUAGCACACAAAAUGAAUUUUGCCACCUGAUGCAAAGCUUCAAACUGAUAAAAAGGUAGACAAGUGUGACACAACCUUUUCCAUAGGCAGUGCUACUUCCAGGGACUCUGCUUCUAUGGACUGAGUAUGUGGUCCUUUCCCCAAGUCCUCCAUCACGUGUUAGCUGAUGAUCAUUUUCCUAGAAGGACACUAGUCCUUGCCCUUCAGGAGACUUAGGAGGACUCUUGGAUCGCGACCCGUACUUGGAUUCCCUCUUGGAUAGUGGGGGAGGAGUCUUGGACGUGGGCGGGGACAUGGACCGUGAGCGAGAUCUGGAGACAUUGGAGAACUUGGAUCUUCGCGAGAUCUCGAUUUGGAGGUCAAUGGAGAGCGAGAGCAAGUAGGGGACCCAGACUUGGAGUGAAGCUGGCCGUAGGGAGACCUGUUGCAUGGAGACAAGCUGUAGGGAAAUGGGCUGUAAGAAGAUCGGAUAUAGCGAGAUCAGCUGUAGCGAGAUUACCUGUAGGGAGAUCGGCUAUAGCGAGAUCGUCCGUAGGGAGGGCGUCUGUAGGGAGAUCCCCUGUACUGAGACCAGCUGCCGGACCUGGAGCAGCUGGGACCCCAGGAUCGGCUGCGGUGUAGCCGCCUGGGACUGCAGCUCUGCCGUCCAUAGACGCCGCCCCGGACCUGCUGCGUGGCGCUCCCUGGCGGCUGCGGGGCAGGUCCCAGAGGCCAUAGCUCACCACCUGCACCCGCAGCUCCCGUCGGUCCAGCACCUCCCCAUCCCUGGCGGUCUUGGCGUCUUGGGCUUAGUGCUGGUCGUGGAAGCGGACGAAGGCGAAUAAUUUUCAAAACAAACUUAACAACUGUGAUCAUUAUAAUCUGCAAUAGCCAAUAAUUAAAUGGAAAAUGCUUUUCAAUAUGUGGAACACAAUUGCAAAAAUUUCCCAGUGCAGGCCUACAAAUAAAUAUCAAUUAAAAUUCCAUAAGUUAAUAAAUUGAGCAUAAUCUUGACCUCACUGAAAUAAAAUUGAAGGUCAAAAAUUUAAAAACUGAAUCUGACCAUAUUUAUUUGAAAAUUAAUAUCCACAUUUUCUAAAAAUCUAUUGUUUUUAUGUUGAAAUCCAGCAAUUAGUAAAACAAAAAAAAGCAAAAAACAAAAAAGGUAAUAAAAUGUUAAUACAAUGAUAGAAUUGUAAACAAACAAAAGGAAAUCUAGACUAAGAUGUUCAAUAAAACUGCAAUCUGAUACUGUUAAAGAAAGUAAAGGAGUGGCAAUACUGAUAAAAAAAAUAAAGUUUCUAGACCUGUACAGGAAAUAUACACAAAGAGCCUAGAGCAUCUUGGAGUGCUGGAAAUUAAAGAUAUGGUAAGUACAAAACAAACAAAAGCAAUGAUAGGGUUAUAUCAGAGCACCGAUGGGGUUAUAUUAGAAGAACACAAGAACCAAUGAAAACAGCUCCCAUUGGCCAAAUCUUGAACAACAAAGUGACUAAAGUACAAUUGAAUUAUAAUCCAAAGUAUAAAAUAAAUACUUGUGAGUUCAUGCUGUUAUAAACAAAUGAGUAAAUUUAACAAAUUGAAACGAAGAGACAAAACCCUUCUGCAGAAGAAUUCUAAAUAAAUGUACUAAAAUGUUGCUCAUUUUGAAAAUGUUAUAUAACCUUAUAUAAAUAGAAUUGUGCUUUAUGCAACUUAAUGGGUUUUUUAAAUUUCCCUCAUCUAUGUUGUUCCAUGUAGCUGUACUUAGUCCUGUUGCCUGCUGUAAGGUAUCAAUGGUAUAAAUGUUUGUGCUGUUGAUGGACAUUUGGGUUGUUUCAACUUUUGGCCUCUUACAGUGUUGCUCAGAACACGCUUGGACAUGUAUACUGGAGCUCAUGUGUCCUCUUAUCUAUGAAUGGAUCCCUUGUCAUAGAAUACAGGCAGCCUUCUGUAACCUCUGGGUUCAGCAUCCGUGAAUUCAACCAACUGUAGGUCAGAAAUAGAAGAAAAGAAAAAAAAAAAAAACCAACAAAAAUAACAAAAAACAAUACAGCAAACAACUAUUUACAUUGUAUAGUAUGUAAUCUAGAGAUGAUUUAAAGUAUAUGGUAAGAUAUAUACAGGUUAAAUGCACAUACCAAGCCAUUUUAUAUACAGGAUUUGAAAAUCCUCAGAAUCCUCAGGGGUUUCUAAGAAACAAACCUCCUCUACCCCCAGGACAUCAAGGGACAACUGUAUGUAAAUUCAAACGUUAUCAUGCCUGAUUGUUUUUCAGCAGUUUUUACCAAUUUACACACAGGACAGCUGUAAAUGAGAGUGCUUAAUGCUCUUCAUUUUUGCAAAUCUUUGGUGAAUAUCAGACUUUUUAGUUUUAGCCAAUUAGGUGAGGGAGUUGUGGUGUUUCAUUAAGAUUUGCAUUUCCUAUGAUUUGGUCCCCACACAACAGCCUGGGUGACACAGCGAGACCUUGUCACUUAAAACUUAAAAAAAAAAAAUCAUUUCCCUGAUUACAAAUGAGAGUGGACAAUUUUUUCAUUUGUUUAUUGGCCAUUCAAAUUUUCUCAUUCAUGAGGUGCCUAUUAUGUCUUUCAUCCAUUCCUCUACUGGGUUUGCUGUCUGUAUACUUACAUAUGAUGCAUAUUAGCUGUUUAUUGCAUAUGAAUAAUACAAUAUCUCCUCACAAUCCUUAGUUUCUUGCUUCCUUCUUUCUUCAUAUUUUUUGAUGAACAGAAAUCCCUCUUUAUUUUUAACAGUAAGAAUAUUAUUCUAUUAUUCAAGAUAGCUGACAUACAUGGUGACUAUCAAAUGACAAACACUACUCAAUUUAUUCUGUUUAGAACAACUCAUUUAAUCUUCACAAUAUCCAGUAAGAGAAAUCUUCACUCUACUUUUCAGAUGACAAAACUGAGUCAUGAGGACAUUAAGUCAUGUGAUCAAGGUGAUAGUCAGCGAGUAUUGGAGUCAGAUAUUCAAACAAGAAUCUCCAAAGUGAUUUCUUAAAAAAAUAAAAAGAAAAAUGACUUCUCCCCUGUCAAACCAUGAUGUUUGAGCUGAAAUGAACAAUACAUCUAAGUACAGAAUACAGUAAGACCAGACACAGAUACAGGUAUCUCAGGAGGGUAUCUAUCUGCCUGGGGAGAGAUUGUCAUGUUGCUGAAGAAUAGCGAGCAGAAAUUCAGUUCUCACAUUCUGAAUUAGACUAUGAGCCAAACUAUCAAUCUUCAGAGGUUUUGUUGAAAACCUGUUGGAGAAGUGUAGUUCCUUGGGACAGCUCCUUCAAGUUUGCAUCGGGAUGCCUGCUUUCACCCACCCCAGUGAGACUUGCUCACUCUUAUCUUCCAGGUGUCCCAGGGCAUCUAUCUGCCUGGAAAGAGACUGAGAUGUCGCUGAAGGGUAACAAGCAGAUGUUCAAUUCUAACGUUCCAAAUUAGAAUGUGAGCUAAGCUAUCAAUCAUCUGAGAUUUUUCAGAACUUCUUUAUUUCUCUCCAUUUCCUUAGCCACAACCCAACAUUAUCACCUAAUUUUAAUUGCCAAUUAUUCGCCUCAAUAUAAGAGUGAGAAAGUCUCACUUUCCACUGGGGUGGGUGGAAGCAGGCAUCCAGAUGCUAACUUGAAGGAGCUGACCCAAGAAACUGACACUUCUCCAACAGAUUUCCAACCCAAUCUCUGUUUAGCCUCUUUUAUUCCCAACUCCAGGAGUACCUGGUGUCACAAAAUCUUCAUUCCUUUUGGUUCUGCACUGGGGAUUAUGUUGCUCUCCAGCUUUUUUUCCCUGCCAACCUAGAAUUUAGCUUUCCAGAGUUUCUUAAGAUGGUUCCCACUUUUCCAGCUCCCCUAUGUUGGCUCCUAUUCAGUUUUCUUCAGUUUAAAACACAUGCAAUAAAACUUAUAGAUCUUAGGUCUCCACAUCGGUGAGUUUUAACAAUUAUAUAAACCCAUGUAAUCAUCACCCAAAACAAGAUGUAGGUCAUUCCCACAGCCUGGAACUUUCCAGUUAAUUCCCACCGUAGGUAAUCAUGUUCUAAAUUCUGUGACCACAGCUUAGGUUGGCUUAUUUUUUAAAUGAAUAUAAAUGCAAUUGUACAGUAUGUUUUCCAUUCGAUCUGGUUUUUCUUUUUCCCAAAUCAUAUGUUUGUAAGAUCCAUCUAUCCUGUUGCAUGUGCCAGAGUUCAUUACUUUUUACUGCUGAAUAAUAUUUUAAUACGCUACAGUUUUUCUAUUUACCUGUUCAAAGACAUAUGCAUUUUUCAUAGUUCUUGAUUCUUAUGAAUUGGGUAGAUAAUUAGGGAAAGAUCUUCUAGGCAUAGAUGUCUGCUUAGGUUUAUGGAAGACUGACACACAGUUUUCAAAGCAGCUGUAUGAUGUCACAUUUCCAGUCACAAUGCAUGUGAGAGCCCACUGCUCUGGACAUAGGACCGUUCCUCUCAGAGCCAGAGAGCGUGGUUCCAGUAAAUCUGGGUGAAAAACUGGGAAUGAUCCAUCAUGCCUCUCAAAGGCAAAAUGUUUGCUUUUUGUACUUGUGACUUUGGGUGUUCAAAGGGACAUAUUUUUAUUGGCAGCGGGGGAGGGUCACAGCAAUAAUUCCAUAAAUUGGAAGUUGAGAUUCUCAUGUGGCCAUUUCUAUCUGUUCACAUCACUGAAUAACCAUGCAAAGAAGAACUAUAAUUUCAGCAGGGGGCAUUGAUCUUUAUUCUCUCAUGGAAAUUAUGCUCUUUGAAACACAAACAAACCUAAAGUACAGUUGCAGUCAGGUUCACUACAGAGCACACUCUAAGACUUCAGCACAAAGAUCUUUCUUAAAGAGUGCCCUUAGGAUCCAUAUCUGAGAAAGAAAGAGGAAGGAAGCAGUUUUGAGCUCAGGGAAAAGUUUAUCUGUGGCUCAGGGCCAAAGAUAGUCUCAGCGGAUCCUGCAGGCAGCUCUGGAGCUCAGAUGGCCCUUCCGGGGCGUCCUGAAUUCAGCAGAGUUGGCCAAGCCUUAUGCUGCAGCGCUGAGCAGUCACUGGAUGUGGGCCAAACUGGGAAGAGGCAUGGCCUUGAGUGAGGCAGCUCUCUGCAGCUGUAGGCUGUCUGCCUACUGCAGUACAGGGACAAUGAGGCUUUUACCUAUCGCAUAAAAGUUUAUUCCUUGGUCAUGCAAGAUGUACUGUGGGUGGAGCAGCUCUCUAGGACUACUCCCUUCCGGUGAAUGCAGUGUGCCCUCAUCUUGUGUUUGUUUCCACCAUCUCAGUAUUAGCUGAGUAUUAUUCCCCUUUUCAGCCAGGCCGCUCACUCUCAUCCUCAUUUGUGCCUGGAGUCCCUGAGUUCAGGCUCUCAGCUUCAAUUUUCCUAAGAAUAAACUUCCAUCUCUUGUUACACUAGGAAUGACAAACCCACCUAACUGAAUGAGAGAGACAGGAAGAUGCGGGUUUUUCUGUUCUUUAUUAAAAACUUUAGACAAGCACCAAUUUUUUAAUUACUUUGGCCUUCAAAUUUACAGGUGCUUCAAAAUUGAGAGCCUUACUAAAAUUCUGUGGGGGCAAUUAAGGAAGGCUAGUAUUAAGGGGAGAGGUGGCUUGCUGUAAUUUUAAUUUACAAAAUAUAUGUGAGUUUGUCCAUUUCUGUGCAUUUUCUUUUUUUGUUUUUUCUGAGACAGAGUCUUGCUCUGUCGCCCAGGUUGGAGUGCAGUGGCGUGAUCUCAGCAUGGCCAUAUUCAUUUCUUUAACUGAUAUUUGACUAUUUAGUAUGUGUAACAUCCUACCAGGGCCAGGGAAGUAAUGGUAAACAAGGUAGAUGUAGUUUCUUCCAUCAUGCAGUGUCACAGAAGAUCUAGAUGUACACAUGUAUGCAGUACACAUCAGAAUAUUAAUAAUUUUUAAGUGCUAUGAAGAAAAGGAUUAUUCAUUCCCUGUGUUCUGUGUUAGUAUCUGCAAAUAGAUGAAUGGUUGAAUUGAACUCAUGUCAGCCAUUUUUGUUGUCAUUUAUCUGGUACCAGACAUAGUGCUAGUAUCACAGGUUAAUGUUUGAAAAUGGAUAAAUUCUGCUAGUGAUACAUCUUUUUAUAUGAUAUAAAGAAGCUAAGUAUAUCGGGGUAUUAAUAAACAUGAAAGGGUUUGCAUUAUGAGGAUACAUGUUUCUAAAAUUAUGAAAUGGGCUUCAUCUACAAAAUGCUGAUAUAAAACAGUUCAAAAUUGCUCACUUUGGUGGGAUAUGAUGGCUUAUAUCUGUAAUCCCUGAAUUUGGGGAGGCUGAUGCAGGAGGAUUGCUACAUAGUGA